CCUCUAAAUUUUACUUCCAGUGCCAAUCAUUCCGGAAUUCCUAUACGACAUCAGGCACCCGGAUGCUCCACUAGCUAGCUUUCCCAAGACUCCACCGACGACGCUUUCACCGUGUGAGAAAGAAACCACCACUCCAUAUAAUGGAAUUGACAUCACCACUCCUGGUUAUGAUAACGCCAGCUGGCAUGCCGAACGAGAGGAGCGUCACAAGGAGCUGGUGGAGGAAACGGUUGAAGUUGGCCUUAUGUUUGCAUCGAAAGCUUUCGUCCAGCUGCUUGCCAAUCCAAUAGUCGGUCCAUUAACGCAUAAGAUAGGUUAUAGUAUUCCCAUGUUCACUGGUUUCGUUAUUAUGUUUAUUUCGACUUUGAGUAAGUAUUGGAGAAUGUAAACCAAACAUUAUCAACUUAUAUUCGUCUGUAAAC